CUAGGGGCUGAAUUGAUUUACUCUAAUAAAGGUAGUACAGCUGGAACAGCAAUUGAAAUUAGAGUCACCACCUAAUUAAUUUUAUGAAAAUUAACUGAUGUUCUGCAAGAUCCGUAUAUCUUCUGCAUACAAAAGAUAGAAAAAGGAAUCCAUUCAUUUUCAGAAAAAAAUGACAGUUUUUACAAGAACAGCCUAUGUCUGAGUUCCAGCCACCACCUAAUUGUGUGAUCUUAGCCAAACUUCCCUCGGCCCACACCUCUGCUGGUCCAGGCAUUUUACCUCCUUGGAUGACCUACACCGUCAUU